CCUACGGGUGUGCAGCAGUGGGGAAUAUUGGACAAUGGGCGAAAGCCUGAUCCAGCCAUGCCGCGUGUGUGAAGAAGGCCUUCGGGUUGUAAAGCACUUUCAGUGGGGAAGAAAGCCUUGGGGCUAAUACCCUCGAGGAAGGACAUCACCCACAGAAGAAGCACCGGCUAACUCCGUGCCAGCAGCCGCGGUAAUACGGAGGGUGCGAGCGUUAAUCGGAAUUACUGGGCGUAAAGCGCGCGUAGGCGGCCUGAUAAGCCGGUUGUGAAAGCCCCGGGCUCAACCUGGGAACGGCAUCCGGAACUGUCAGGCUAGAGUGCAGGAGAGGAAGGUAGAAUUCCCGGUGUAGCGGUGAAAUGCGUAGAGAUCGGGAGGAAUACCAGUGGCGAAGGCGGCCUUCUGGACUGACACUGACGCUGAGGUGCGAAAGCGUGGGUAGCAAACAGGAUUAGAUACCCCGGUAGUC
rnacentral:rRNA from 1 species